rnacentral:misc_RNA from 1 species
GUAUUAAAUUUUAAAGGCGCUAAAAAGGCCUGUUGAUACAUUCUGUUUCAUACAUCUGGAGUAUAGUAAAAACAUAGAGUUGGAAGACACAAGAGCAGCCGGCUUUGACGCACAGCAGCCCUCAAAUUCCGAGUUUGUAUUCACGGAAAAUGUCUCCAAGUCUACAAAAUGUGCACAGGGGUUUGAAAACUGGGCGGCAGGUGUGCACAUGCCCUGGAGGGGCCAGCAGCAACCUGACCAAGUUUAUUCAUUAAUGAUCCUUCCGCAGGUUCACCUACGGAAA